AUGGAGGCGGAGGCGGCUGUGCAGCUCCUCUCUGGCAUUCUGGCUGCGAGAGGCGUAUCUUGCAGCGCGAAAAAGAUCAAAUCCCUGGUGCAAUGGGCCCAGAAGGAGGGUUUUCUAAAGGAAAGCCCUCUAAGCUUUAGCCCAGAUGAGUGGAAGCUGGUAGGAGAUCGGUUAUGGCAGACAACCACCACGAGUGGAAAGUUCAAUAAAGAUCUAUGUAUGACCUGGCGAGCAGUGAUUGAUGCGCUGUGCGGUCUGAAGGCCGAACGCCAGGUGGUAACGGCGACGACGCAAGCUUUGUCACUACCAUCCGGGGCCGACAAAACGUCAACUACAAAAUCUGACAACUCAGGACCAUGCCUGUCACUAUUGUUUCCAUCGGUUCCUGCACCCAUGCCGGUUCGGGGUAUGACCUCUUCAAUAAAGGAAUCAGCGGCAGCCAUAAUUAAGGGACUAUCCGAGCACGGUGCAGAUGUGGCCUGCGAAUUGCCCUCUUCAUCUCCCGCUCCAGAAAAUCUUGACACAGUGCCCCCAGCAUCCAUGCCGCUGCCAGGAACCAAUAAAUCCACCCAAGAUGCUUCUCCCUCAUUAUCCACCGCCCCAACUCCACCGGCGCCGAAACCAAAUAGGUGGUCUGGAGUCAUACGUGAUGCCAUUAUAGAGGGAGAGUGGCGUGCCGCAUCUUUGGCCUGCCCAGAUGUUAUGGACCCUGUGCAAGGCACCGGGUCGUGGCAACCGCAUGAUUGGAAGAUUUUACGACAAGCUAGAAAAAUAGUUAUGGACUACGGCUUACAGUCCCAGGCGGCACAACAGAUAGUUCAAUGGAUUUUCCAGUCAGACUUAAUGUGUCCACUUGACUGUCAAAACUUGGCACGUUUGUUGUUAACUCCUUCCCAACUGUUGCUCUUUGAAAGGGAAUGGCUACGGUUGGCACAGGCAGAAGCGAGUCGACUGCGUCAACCAGGGGACCCUCUGUACGGCAUUACUGCUGAAAUGUUAACGGGGACAGGUCCAUACUUCAAUCCCCAAGUUCAGCUGCAGUUCCCUGCGAUUUUUCACCAAACAGCUGCACAGCUCGCACUACAGGCUCUUCUUGCCCUUCCAGAAGAAAAGAAAUCACCUCCCUUUGCAUCAGUUCAACAGGCCCAAGGCGAACCUUAUGCAAAAUUUAUCGAUCGGUUGUGGGCAGCAAUCAUAGAUCAUCCGGACUUAACAUCGGAGUCAAGAAAGAUCAUGUUUAAAAUGCUUGCUUUCGACAACGCGAACGCAAAAACCCAAAACAUCCUAGCCACGCUACCGAGAACCGCAACUGUAGAAGAAAUGUUGGAGAGAGUCGAACGAGUCAAUCAGUCCAAGCAAGCAGCUGUGAUGGCACAGGCUGUUGCAACACCCAUUGGUGAUCCCUCAAGUGCUAUAGUGACACAAACCAACAGCAGCCCUCCAAGACGUAACCCCCAGAAUCAGCUGCGAUGUUAUCGAUGCGGGAGGCCUGGCCAUACAAAAAGGCACUGCAUGGCUACCGUCUGGUGUGAUAAUUGCCAAUCUAACACACAUGCUACAGUAAUGUGCAGGUCCAAGGGAAACUCCAAGAGGAGCGUGAUCGGCCGCGCGACGACAACAGUAGCUGCAGUGCGGAUGGACAGGGCGGAUUUCUCAACAACAAUGCCCCAGCCACCAGAGGAAGCCUUGGAGUGGAUUUGGCAACAGCAGUAA
rnacentral:lncRNA from 1 species